rnacentral:lncRNA from 1 species
GGCUUUCCUAAUCCUAUAUAAAUCCUGCUUACCAGCAAAAUUUCAGAACCUCCAGUUUCUUCACCAGAAGAGGUUAUGUAAUUGAGACUUUGAGUUUAGUGUCAAAGAGAUUAUUACUACAUUUGAAUUCAAGACAGAGCACAAAAACCAUUAUGGCCAAGCUGGUGUGUCUGAUGCUGGUGAUUCUUGUUUUGGCAGCAAUCUGCAGCAACUAUAUGGUUGACUCUCAGAGACGACCAUAUCUGUUAAAAAAUGACUGCGGUUGCAAAGUGAUGAAGAAUAAGAAGGUGAGCUGUCAAAGAAUUCCAAAAUCAAACGAGGAGAAGCUUCAAAUGAUCAAGUGCCUCUGCAAAAAGCAUCAUCCAGUCCUCAACAAGAAGCUGAGCACUGACUUUCAAAAUGCAUGCAAGAAACUGCAAGAUCAUUUCUUCAACUCACUUCUCCCCCUACCCCUGUCCUGAGAAGAUUCCCCCCUGGACGGCAUUUACAGUAGAAAUACAACACCAGCUAAUGCACUAUAAAGGGCUGCUCCUCGAGAUUAUUACACUUUGGGCACUGCGAUGGGAAACAGCUUCACAUACAAUCUGCAGUCCAUUAGAGUUGAAAAAUGACAUUUUUGUACUAGUGCAACAUUUAAUCUUGUGCAUAAUUCAAACCAAAUGCUGUAGUUGAGGAUAGUUUACAUUGAGAUUAUUAUUCAAGAGCACAAAACAUAAAUUUUUCCUCUGCUUUGCUUUACAAUUUGUUUGUAAUUGCUAAAUGACUUUGGUGUUGACUGGGCCUCCUGUAAUUACCAGUGGAAAAGCAAUAUAUCUUUUAUAAUGAAUAACUCGUUAAACCAUGCAACUACAUACUGUAGAGUUAAUACAAAGGGAAGAAACUACGUAUUCAAACAUUGAUCACUAUUAGGUUCUUGAGGGAGCACAAACAGUUGUAUAUUAGUAAAUAAAUCCAAUGUUGAGUUAGACACAUUAUUGGUCUUUAUGUUACAUUUCAUUUCUUUUUUAUGUGGUUUCUGGUUUUAAUGUGAAAAUCGAUGUGCAAUUUCAUAUUUCCCUAUUGUAGAGCCAGACUAAAGUGAACAAACCCUCACGUCCUCCUCAGGUUGAAGUUAGCUUGCUUGGGUGUGUACAUGUGUCUAAUUCCUACAGAGUUUCACUAGAAUAAUCAGGAGAGAGUAACCCUCAGCCUCAGGAAGCCACCACACAUACUGUAAUAUUGUAUUUUCUGUAUAAUACACAGGUUAUGUGUUGACAAGUUGUGAUAUUAUGAGACAAUAAAAUAUUACUCUAUGUAAUGUAGAAUUUGCAAUGAAAAUGGAAAGUCUAAAACAAUGUUGUAUUCAUGCUCAAAAAACAAAUAAAGAAUUCACUAUACACCUGAAGAAGGCUCCACAGCUGAAACGUUGUGUUUCCUUUCUUC